UUGACCUCGGAUCAGGUAGGGAUACCCGCUGAACUUAAGCAUAUCAAUAAGCGGAGGAAAAGAAACCAACAGGGAUUGCCCUAGUAACGGCGAGUGAAGCGGCAACAGCUCAAAUUUGAAAUCUGGCGUCUUUGGCGUCCGAGUUGUAAUUUGCAGAGGGCGCUUUGGCAUUGGCAGCGGUCCAAGUUCCUUGGAACAGGACGUCACAGAGGGUGAGAAUCCCGUACGUGGUCGCUAGCCUUUACCGUGUAAAGCCCCUUCGACGAGUCGAGUUGUUUGGGAAUGCAGCUCUAAAUGGGAGGUAAAUUUCUUCUAAAGCUAAAUACUGGCCAGAGACCGAUAGCGCACAAGUAGAGUGAUCGAAAGAUGAAAAGCACUUUGGAAAGAGAGUUAAAAAGCACGUGAAAUUGUUGAAAGGGAAGGCGCUUGCAGCCAGACUUGCCUGUAGUUGCUCAUCCGGGUUUUUACCCGGUGCACUCUUCUACGGGCAGGCCAGCAUCAGUUUGGGCGGUUGGAUAAAGGUCUCUGUCAUGUACCUCCUCUCGGGGAGAACUUAUAGGGGAGACGACAUGC
rnacentral:rRNA from 1 species